rnacentral:rRNA from 1 species
UACGUAGGGUGCAAGCGUUAAUCGGAAUUACUGGGCGUAAAGCGUGCGCAGGCGGCUUUGCAAGACAGAUGUGAAAUCCCCGGGCUAAACCUGGGAACUGCAUUUGUGACUGCAUGGCUGGAGUGCGGCAGAGGGGGAUGGAAUUCCGCGUGUAGCAGUGAAAUGCGUAGAUAUGCGGAGGAACACCGAUGGCGAAGGCAAUCCCCUGGGCCUGCACUGACGCUCAUGCACGAAAGCGUGGGGAGCAAACAGG